rnacentral:rRNA from 1 species
AACGAACGCUGGCGGCAUGCCUAACACAUGCAAGUCGAACGAUCCCUUCGGGGAUAGUGGCGCACGGGUGCGUAACGCGUGGGAACCUGCCCUUAGGUUCGGAAUAACUCAGAGAAAUUUGAGCUAAUACCGGAUAAUGUCUUCGGACCAAAGAUUUAUCGCCUUUGGAUGGGCCCGCGUUGGAUUAGCUAGUUGGUGGGGUAAAGGCCUACCAAGGCGACGAUCCAUAGCUGGUCUGAGAGGAGGAUCAGCCACACUGGGACUGAGACACGGCCCAGACUCCUACGGGAGGCAGCAGUGGGGAAUAUUGGACAAUGGGCGAAAGCCUGAUCCAGCAAUGCCGCGUGAGUGAUGAAGGCCUUAGGGUUGUAAAGCUCUUUUACCCGAGAUGAUAAUGACAGUACCGGGAGAAUAAGCCCCGGCUAACUCCGUG